GUGUUACUGGGUUGCACAUAUACUAAAAUUGGAACGAUACAGAGAAGAUUAGCAUGCAAGGAUGACAUGCAAAUUCGUGAACCAUUCCUCAUUCCU
rnacentral:snRNA from 15 species